GACGAACGCUGGCGGCGUGCCUAAUACAUGCAAGUCGAACGCAGUGGGGACGGGUGAGUAACACGUGGGUAACCUCCCAUCAGAGGGGAUAACACUUGGAAACAGGUGCUAAACCGAUACUGAUGGAUGGACCCGCGGUGCAUGAGCUAGUUGGUGAGGUAACGGCUCACCAAGGCCACGUGGCAUAGCCGACAUGGGAGGGUGGUCGCCCACACUGGGACUGAGACCGGGCCCAGGCUCCUACGGAAGGCAGCAGGAGGGAGUCUUCGGCAAUGAACGAAAGACUGACAGAGCCACGCCGCGUGAGUGAGGAAGGUUUUCGGAUCGUAAAACUCUGUUGUUAGUGCAGCGGUAUCUAACCAGAAAGCCACGGCUAACUACGUGCCAGCAGCCGCGGUAAUAC
rnacentral:rRNA from 1 species